rnacentral:tRNA from 1 species
GGAGAGAUGACCGAGCGGUUGAAGGUGCACGCCUGGAAAGCGUGUGUAGGGGCAACUCUACCUGGGGUUCGAAUCCCCAUCUCUCCGCCA